rnacentral:rRNA from 1 species
ACGGUGGAUGCCUAGGCGGUAGGAGGCGAUGAAGGACGUCGUAGCCUGCGAUAAGCCUCGGGGAGCUGGCAAACGAGCAUUGAUCCGAGGAUCUCCGAAUGGGGAAACCCACCGACUGUAAGGUCGGUAUCAGUCACUGAACACAUAGGUGGCUGAAGCGAACCCGGGGAACUGAAACAUCUAAGUACCCGGAGGAAAAGAAAUCAACCGAGAUUCCCUCAGUAGCGGCGAGCGAACGGGGACCAGCCCAAAAGUCCGCACACGCAUAGCAGAAGUGACUGGAACGUCACGCCAGAGCGAGUGACAGCCUCGUAUGCGACAUGCCCGUGUGGAUGAAAAUGAGUAAGGCGGGGCACGAGAAACCCUGUCUGAACAUGGGGGACCAUCCUCCAAGGCUAAAUACUCCCCUACCGACCGAUAGUGAACCAGUACCGUGAGGGAAAGGCG